GGCGUCAUAGCUCAGAGUUGGGAAAGCAGCAGACUGAAGUGGUUCGGUGUCAUCUGAAUGUUCGGUGUUAGCUGAAGGUCCGGUGCUCAAGCCACCGUGAUGCCG